rnacentral:rRNA from 1 species
AGGACGAACGCUGGCGGCGUGCUUAGCACAUGCAAGUCGAACGGUGAAGCCCUUCGGGGUGGAUCAGUGGCGAACGGGUGAGUAACACGUGAGCAAUCUGCCCCCGACUCUGGGAUAACUUCGGGAAACCGGAGCUAAUACCGGAUAUGACACACGAUCGCAUGGUCUGUGUGUGGAAAGAUUUAUCGGUUGGGGAUGAGCUCGCGGCCUAUCAGCUUGUUGGUGGGGUAAAGGCCUACCAAGGCGACGACGGGUAGCCGGCCUGAGAGGGCGACCGGCCACGACUGGGACUGAGACACGGCCCAGACUCCUACGGGAGGCAGCAGUGGGAAUCUGGACAAUGGGCGCAAGCCUGAUCCAGCCAUGCCGCGUGAGUGAAGAAGGCCUUCGGGUUGUAAAGCUCUUUUACCGAGGACGAUAAGUGACGGUACCUGGAGAAUAAGCCCGGACAAACUCGUGCCAGCAGCCGAC